AAAUUCAAUUAAAUUCAAUUCAAGUUUAUUUGUAUAGCGCUUUUUACGAUACAAAUCAUUGCAAAGCAACUUUACAGAAAAUUAAGUUUCUACAAUAUUUAGUAGUAGCUUAUCAGUGGUGACUGUCAGUUUAUGUGCAUACGGCAGAAAUGUUCAGAAAAAUCAAUAAAAGACGUAAACAAACAGACGAUUAACACUAUUGACAGCAAUUAUGCAAUCAAGCUUAUAGCAAAAUGUGGUAGUUCUGUGGGUAGACACAAGACAAACCUGUUGCGACGCGCAGUCGCGUCCGGUGUAGGGACACGGUUCACUGAAAAAAACCUCGUCCGUUUGGGAAGGUGCGCGCGCAGUCAGCGGAGGCUCGCGAAGCGAUAUUAUGUUAGCCGCCGUAACCGGAUACCGGCCAAGCCACUAAGCAAAAAAAAAAUCAUACAUCAAAAGUAACAUUAAAUAAAUAAAUAAAAAGAAAUUGGCCUACAGCGCUCUUUAUCAGGCAUCAUGAUAAGCACAGUUGUUAUUUAUUUAGUUCUUUAUUAUGGCGAGUUCCCCGCGAAUCUUGACCCUGACUGAUCCCUAUGAUGUCACUCGUCACCUGGUCACUGUCUGUCAGUCAGUUACUCCGACGUCGACGAUGUCUGACAAGAAACGAAAAUAUCUUUCUGGCCAUGAAAAACGACAAAAGAAGAGGCUGGAAGAAGAGAAGAAGUAAGAAGAUAAAGAUCUCAGAGCCUAGGCUGCCUACAGAGACGCGUUUUUUUGACGGCCUGCUUAUGGGGCAGGCAGCUAGCGGAUCGUUAGGAAAGAUGAGAUGAAUGUGAUCAUUUAUGGUUGGGCCUUUUUUGAGCCUGAAAUCACUGAUACAACCUUUAAUUCAAUUUUUUGUUUUUAGCAAAUUACUUUUUUCCAAGGAGACCAUGUAUGCAUGUGCGCGCA
ensembl:lncRNA